rnacentral:tRNA from 1 species
GGGGAUAUAGUUUUGUGGUAGAGUGCUUGCCUGGCAUGCUUGAGGCCCUGAGUUCAUUCCCCAGUACCACCA